ANGGNCGGCUUANCAUGCAGUCGAACGAUGAUCUCCCGCUUGCGGGGGUGAUUAGUGGCGAACGGGUGAGUAAUACGUGAGUAACCUGCCCUUGACUCUGGGAUAAGCCUGGGAAACCGGGUCUAAUACUGGAUACUACCUUUCACCGCAUGGUGGGGGGUGGAAAGGGUUUGACUGGUUUUGGAUGGGCUCACGGCCUAUCAGCUUGUUGGUGGGGUAAUGGCUCACCAAGGCGACGACGGGUAGCCGGCCUGAGAGGGUGACCGGCCACACUGGGACUGAGACACGGCCCAGACUCCUACGGGAGGCAGCAGA
rnacentral:rRNA from 1 species